CCUACGGGAGGCAGCAGUGAGGAAUAUUGGUCAAUGGACGAGAGUCUGAACCAGCCAAGUAGCGUGAAGGAUGACUGCCCUAUGGGUUGUAAACUUCUUUUAUAUGGGAAUAAAAUGUUCCACGUGUGGGAUUUUGUAUGUACCAUAUGAAUAAGGAUCGGCUAACUCCGUGCCAGCAGCCGCGGUAAUACGGAGGAUCCGAGCGUUAUCCGGAUUUAUUGGGUUUAAAGGGAGCGUAGGUGGAUUGUUAAGUCAGUUGUGAAAGUUUGCGGCUCAACCGUAAAAGUGCAGUUGAAACUGGCAGUCGUGAGUACAGUAGAGGUGGGCGGAAUUCGUGGUGUAGCGGUGAAAUGCUUAGAUAUCACGAAGAACUCCGAUUGCGAAGGCAGCUCACUGGACUGCAACUGACACUGAGGCUCGAAAGUGUGGGUAUCAAACAGGAUUAGAUACCCCAGUAGUC
rnacentral:rRNA from 1 species